rnacentral:tRNA from 1 species
GGUGGGGUCGCAUAGCGGACUAGUGCGGCGGUCUUGAAAACCGCUGUCUCGAGCGAUCGGGACCGUGGGUUCGAAUCCCACCCCCACCG